UCUAAUAUAGCUUAACACUUAAAGCACUAACUUUGUAACUUAGAGAUGGAAUUUUCCUAUUAGAU
rnacentral:tRNA from 1 species